CCGAAUCAACUAGCCCUGAAAAUGGAUGGCGCUCUAGCGAAUCACUUAUACUCCACCGUUAACACAAUUCUUUAAACACAAGUGUUAACGUGUAAGAGGGUUGUAGUGAUGUGCGUUGAAGGUUUACGGCGUGAGCCGAGCUGGAGCCAUCACUAGUGCAGAUCUUGGUGGUAGUAGCAAACAUUCAAGUAAGAUCCUUGAAAGCUGAAGGGAAAAAGGGUUCCACGUGAACAGUAAUUGGAUGUGGGUCAGUCGGUCCUAAGAUAACGGCAAAUGCCGUAUCUAAAUGUGUGUGUUUCCUUUGUGGAUUCGCACGUUUACUCGAAAGGGUAACAGGUUGAUAUUCCUGUACUUUGUGCAUACGGCGUUAAUUGAUCUUCGGAUCUUUUAACUGGGGCGGUAACGUAUAUGAAUUCGUAUUAGUCAUAUAUAACUCGAGUCAGAGAUUUCUUUUCUGAUUUAGAUGUCUCGUCCAUGGAAUGAAUUCACUUCGCGAUAUGGAUUAAGGCAUUGUAAAGCACUACGGUUUUUGUGGUGUCUCGAGCGUUGUGUAUGGCCCUUGAAAAUACGAAGGAUCCCAAAUGAUGUAUGCCAAAGCCGUACCCAUUCCGCAUCAGGUUUUCAAGGUGAGCAGCCUCUAGCUAAUAGAAUAAUGUAGGUAAGGGAAGUCGGCAAAUUAGAUCCGUAACUUCGGGAAAAGGAUUAGCUCUAAGAGUUGGGUUAGAUGGGCCCUUGUUUGAAGCUUGAUGUAAAUCAUCGUGUCUGCGGGAAGUUUUCGGACGGAACGCGGACUGGUAUGAUGCGUGUCUUGUUGACGACUUGGGCUAUGUAAGUUUCGGCUUACGUCGUCUAACGAUUAACAACUGACUUAGAACUGGCACGGACUCGGGGAAUCCGACUGUCUAAUUAAAACAGAGCAGAUAGAUGAUGUUUAUGUGUGAUGACUAUCUGUGAUUUCUGCCCAGUGCUCUGAAUGUUAACUUAAGGAAACUUAACUAAGCGCGGGUAAACGGCGGGAGUAACUAUGACUCUCUUAAGGUAGCCAAAUGCCUCGUCAUCUAAUUAGUGACGCGCACGAAUGGAAUAACGAGAUUCCCACUGUCCCUAUCUACUAUCUAGCGAAACCACAGUCAAGGGAACGGGCUUGACAAAUUCAACGGGGAAAGAAGACCCUAUUGAGCUUGACUCUAGUCUGAUAUUGUGAAGAAUCAUAGGAGGUGUAGUAUAGGCGGGAGACUUCGGUCGACAAUGAAAUACCGCUACUCUUAUUGAUUCUUUACUUAAUCAAUAAUACGGAGAUUGCCUUCGGGCUUUCUUCUUGCAUUAAGUAGUAUACCUUGUGUAUAUUACGAUCCGCAUUGAUAACAUUAUCAGGCGGGGAGUUUGACUGGGGCGGUACAUCUGUCAAACUGUAACGUAGGUGUCCUAAGGCAUACUCAGAGAGGACAGAAACCUCUCGUUGACUAAAAGGAGAAAAGUUUGCUUGAUCUUGAUUCUCAGUACGAAUACAGACCGUAAAAGCGUGGCCUAUCGAUCCUUUUGGAUUAUAAAGUUUAUAUUAAGAGGUGUCAGAAAAGUUACCAUAGGGAUAACUGGCUUGUGGCAGCCAAGCGUUCAUAGCG
rnacentral:rRNA from 1 species